GACGAACGCUGGCGGCGUGCUUAACACAUGCAAGUCGAACGGAAAGGCCCCUUUGGGGGUACUCGAGUGGCGAACGGGUGAGUAACACGUGAGUAACCUGCCCUUGACUUCGGGAUAACUUCAGGAAACUGGGGCUAAUACCGGAUAGGAAUCCUUGCUGCAUGGUGGGGUUUGGAAAGCUUCGGCGGUUUUGGAUGGACUCGCGGCUUAUCAGCUUGUUGGUGGGGUAGUGGCUUACCAAGGCUUUGACGGGUAGCCGGCCUGAGAGGGCGACCGGCCACAUUGGGACUGAGAUACGGCCCAGACUCCUACGGGAGGCAGCAGUGGGGAAUAUUGCACAAUGGGCGGAAGCCUGAUGCAGCAACGCCGCGUGCGGGAUGACGGCCUUCGGGUUGUAAACCGCUUUCAGCAGGGGCGAAGCUUGUGGUGACGGUACCUGCAGAAGAAGCACCGGCUAACUACGUG
rnacentral:rRNA from 1 species